rnacentral:rRNA from 1 species
AUACGUAGGUGACAAGCGUUAUCCGGAUUUACUGGGCGUAAAGGGCGUGUAGGCGGUCUUGCAAGUCAGAAGUGAAAUUCCUGAGCUCAACUCGGGCGCUGCUUCUGAAACUGCAGGACUUGAGUGCUGGAGGGGAUAGCGGAAUUCCUAGUGGAGCGGUAAAAUGCGCAGAUAUUAGGAAGAACACCGGUGGCGAAGGCGGCUAUCUGGACAGUAACUGACGCUGAGGCGCGAAAGCGUGGGGAGCAAACAGGAUUAGAUACCCUGGUAGUCCAUGCCGUAAACGAUGAAUACUAGGUGUAGGGGGUAUCGACUCCCUCUGUGCCGCAGUUAACACAAUAAGUAUUCCGCCUGGGGAGUACGGCCGCAAGGUUGAAACUCAAAUGAAUUGGCGGGG